GAAUUGGUAUUUCAAAAUUUAAAAUAGCUCUAAUGAAUCAAGAAUCUGCAAAUAAAAAUGGCCCAAUCGAAGAAACAAACUAAUCAAUCAGAAAUGAAAACAUAAUGAUUAUUACUAGGUCACUAGGGUUAAACCAAAAAUUUCAGCUAGCAAUCAAGAGCUCAAGAAUAAACGCACUUCCAAGUGUAAGCAUAUAUAAGUAAAGCCAGCCUCCUCCAUCCAAUUGAUCCUCGAAUAGUUUAGACAGACGAGAAGAACAGGCAACAACAAAAACAAAAUCAUAGAAAAAUGAAGCAAAACCCAAAACCACAAACGCUAACCCUAGAGAGAGAGAGUAAGAAUUGAGAGUCGUUGAACAUUCAAGUUAAUCAUCAGAGAAAC
rnacentral:misc_RNA from 1 species